rnacentral:sRNA from 1 species
UUUGAUCUUCUCAUUGGUAUUAUUUGUCUUUUCUCCAUUCAACUAGUGGUCUCUUGAGAAGCCUACAACUUUACAAUCGUAUCGACAGGAACCAAGUCCUUAUGCGCUUUGUUAUCAGUCUGUCCAAAUCUCACUGAUCUCAUGAUUGCUAAUUUGUAAGUUGUUUCGUGGAGCCUACAUGUAGCUUUUUAGUUUCAUGAAUUCUCAAUCUCAAUUCUACAACUUAACACUCUUUUUUUUGUUUCCAUUAUUUGAUGUUUCAAGUGACAGGAAAAAAAUUCUAGAGCAAGUACUAAAGACGCUCACUAAAAAUCCUCGCUUGAUAAUAGAACGUUUAAUCUUACAGAACAAUAUCGACUUAAUUCCUGCAUCAGGUAAACUUUUUCCACUGUGAAACUUUCCUCUCUACUUCCUCCCUGGUUGGCUCAAGCUCAACCAAUAUGUGACAGGUGUAUCUUCUUCAACCGUUGAGGCAUUUGUUACCUCCUGCCCCAGCUUAACUACGCUAAAGCUCGUAGGUUUUGGACUAAAGGAAGAAACAGUCAGAAAUCUUGCGGAGGUAUAGCUUCCUUUUAGUAUUUCUUUCUCUUUUACUUCACUUGGUACCACUAAAACAUUUAAAUGUUUUUGCAGGGUUUUCCUAAGCUUACAUACAUGAAUCUGACUAGAACGCCUGGAAUUAGUGGUCGGUUUUUGAGGUUUGUGGUGAACGAUCAAACAUUAAUUACAAUAUCUUAAGUAGUUUCUUAUUAUUCUUUAGCAAACUAUUGUGAUGCUCGAUCAGGGAUUUGAGAACUAUCGGCAGAGACAGUCCAAUCAAGACUCUAAUAUUGCGUGACUGUCAUUGUCUAGAUAGGGUAAGUAUAAAACACACUAAGUUUCAAUUUUGCAUCUUGUACUCCUAAUGUUUCUGAAAAUGUAUGUCGAUAUCCAGAGAGAAAUAGGGUAUUUUUUGGAUUCACUUCUCAAUGGACACUUCAAAUUCAUUCGACAUAUUGUAAGUUGAUAUGUUUUUUCUUUUCAACUAUGUGUAUGCUAGUCUUUUAUAUAUUUCACUACUUUUUUAAAAUUGUAUGACCCAAAAGUUACCUUGCUUUUAAACUUGAUUUGUUUUUGCAAAUGACCUCACUCACAAGUCAUAAUAUCUUCCUUGAUUUUCUCUAGUAGGACGUAACAAGUGAAGUUGCUGAUGGGGGUAGGGAAAUUAUCAUAGGAAAGUAAGUAGAUUGUUUUAGUUUCUUUUUUUUUUUUAUAUAUUGUACCAUUUAUAAUAACACAACUAUAUAUGCCUACUAAUGACACAAUUGUUUGUGUGUGCAUGUGUGUGUUUGGAUGUAGGUAUAUUAUAACGAAGCUGAAAGAACAAAGAUCAGAUGUCACAAUUGUAGCCAAAUCUGUUUGUUUUUAGCUAAAUCUAGAAACAUAAUAAUUUGUAUCAAAUUUAGUGGUUUUGGUUGUAAAUUCAGAUCAAAAGAUUUCUUGGGCAGAUUUUAACUUGCUUUUUUUUAACCCAUGGAAUGGGAUUGUCAUCAAGUGCGCGAUACUGUUCAAGAAAAACUUAUAACUAC